CAGAGUAGUAGUUUAAUAAAAUAUUAGCGUUGGAAGCUAAAGAUUAGGUAGUGGUGGCCUAUUGUCUGA
rnacentral:tRNA from 1 species